UCAUAAACGGUCCUCCUGAAGCUCUCUUUGCCCAAUCUUAGUCUUGCCAGCCCGUGCUUCGGGGUGUCCAAACAAGAGGCAACUUCUUUUGAAAUUUUCUAGGUGGCCCGUAAUGUACACACACAAAAAAUGUGUGAGGACCCCAGUUAGAAAACUGUGGAAAAACAAAAACUGAGGAAAUAAUGAAAACUUACAUACACCAUCAUCUGUACUUCAGCGUUAGUCCUAGUAAAGCGGUGUAUGAAGGACGACCAUGUGACCCAUGGCAGAGCGGCAAUAGGUUGCACAAUUUACCUAUGGCAUAAUAACAAUUAGCUAAUUGAACUGUGUAUGACAAAAUACAAGACAAAAUGGGGAAAAGACACAACAAAUAUGUCCCAAAAAAGGACCAGCCACUCUGUGAACCGAGUUUCGAAAACAAUUGACAACUUUGAAACUUUCAGCUAGAAUACCAAUUAAUGGAGCUAGAAUAUCGAUUAAUGGACAAAUUGUAGCGACACAAAAAUUGAAAUGAAAGUUCUAGGAUAGGUGAAGCGCUGCGAGCAUGUAUGUAGCUCUGAGCAUAAAAAUCAGUCAAAAAUUCUUACGUGUAUCAAUCUAGUUUGGAACACCCUACUCUGAGUUUCCAUCAGAUCAAGAGCACUGCUAUGUUUUUGCACAAAUCUUGUCAAGCU
rnacentral:lncRNA from 1 species